rnacentral:piRNA from 1 species
CCCACAUUGAGCUGAUAUAAAGAGGUGGUC